AACGUAGGACACGAGCGUUAUCCGGAGUUACUGGGCGUAAAGGGCGGGUAGGUGGUGCGAUAAGACUGGUGUGAAAGCCUUCGGCUUAACCGGGGGAGGACACUGGUGACUGUCGGACUUGAGGCAGAUAGAGGGGUGUAGAAUUCCGGGUGUAGUGGUGAAAUGCGUAGAGAUCCGGAGGAAUACCAGAGGCGAAGGCGGCACCCUGGGUCUGACCUGACACUGAUCCGCGACAGCAUGGGGAGCGAACGGG
rnacentral:rRNA from 1 species